rnacentral:rRNA from 1 species
GAUGAACGCUGGCGGUAUGCUUAACACAUGCAAGUCGAACGGACUCUUCGGAGUUAGUGGCGGACGGGUGAGUAACGCGUGAGAAUCUGGCUUUGGGUUCGGGACAACCACUGGAAACGGUGGCUAAUACCGGAUGUGCCGAGAGGUAAAAGAGAAAUUGCCUGAAGAUGAGCUAGCGUCUGAUUAGCUAGUUGGUGAGGUAAAGGCUCACCAAGGCAGCGAUCAGUAGCUGGUCUGAGAGGAUGACCAGCCACACUGGGACUGAGACACGGCCCAGACUCCUACGGGAGGCAGCAGUGGAGAAUUUUCCGCAAUGGGCGAGUGCCUGACGGAGCAAUACCGCGUGAGGGAAGAAGGCUCUUGGGUUGUAAACCUCUUUUCUUAGGGAAGAACAAAAUGACGGUACCUAAGGAAUCAGCAUCGGCUAACUCCGUG